rnacentral:rRNA from 1 species
CAUACAUUAGCAUGGAAUAAUAGAAUAGGACGUGUGGUUCUAUUUUGUUGGUUUCUAGGACCGCCGUAAUGAUUAAUAGGGAUAGUCGGGGGCAUCAGUAUUCAAUUGUCAGAGGUGAAAUUCUUGGAUUUAUUGAAGACUAACUACUGCGAAAGCAUUUGCCAAGGAUGUUUUCAUUAAUCAGUGAACGAAAGUUAGGGGAUCGAAGACGAUCAGAUACCGUCGUAGUCUUAACCAUAAACUAUGCCGACUAGGGAUCGGGCGAUGUUAUCUUUUUGACUCGCUCGGCACCUUACGAGAAAUCAAAGUUUUUGGGUUCUGGGGGGAGUAUGGUCGCAAGGCUGAAACUUAAAGAAAUUGACGGAAGGGCACCACCAGGAGUGGAGCCUGCGGCUUAAUUUGACUCAACACGGGGAAACUCACCAGGUCCAGACACAAUAAGGAUUGACAGAUUGAGAGCUCUUUCUUGAUUUUGUGGGUGGUGGUGCAUGGCCGUUCUUAGUUGGUGGAGUGAUUUGUCUGCUUAAUUGCGAUAACGAAC